AUUGAACGCUGGCGGCAUGCCUUACACAUGCAAGUCGAACGGUAACAGGUCUUCGGAUGCUGACGAGUGGCGAACGGGUGAGUAAUACAUCGGAACGUGCCUAGUAGUGGGGGAUAACUACUCGAAAGAGUGGCUAAUACCGCAUGAGAUCUACGGAUGAAAGCAGGGGAUCGCAAGACCUUGUGCUACUAGAGCGGCCGAUGGCAGAUUAGGUAGUUGGUGGGAUAAAAGCUUACCAAGCCGACGAUCUAUAGCUGGUCUGAGAGGACGAUCAGCCACACUGGGACUGCGACACGGCCCAGACUCCUACGGGAGGCAGCAGUGGGGAAUUUUGGACAAUGGGCGCAAGCCUGAUCCAGCAAUGCCGCGUGCAGGAUGAAGGCCUUCGGGUUGUAAACUGCUUUUGUACGGAACGAAAAGCCCUGGGUUAAUACCCUGGGGUCAUGACGGUACCGUAAGAAUAAGCACCGGCUAACUACGUGCCAGCCGCCGCCGAAACAC
rnacentral:rRNA from 1 species